UGCAAGUCGACGCGAAGUCCUUCGGGAUGAGUAGAGUGGCGCACGGGUGAGUAACACGUAGGUAAUUUGCCUUUGGGUGGGGAAUAACAAUCGGAAACGGUUGCUAAUACCGCAUAAUGCAGCGGCUGCUUUGGCAGACAGUUGUUAAAGCGGGGGAUCGGAGUAAUCCGACCACGUGCCUGAAGAGAAGCCUGCGGCAGAUUAGGUAGUUGGUGAGGUAAUGGCUCACCAAGCCUGCGAUCUGUAACCGGCCUGAGAGGGCGGUCGGUCACACUGACACUGAACAUACGGGUCAGACUCCUACGGGAGGCAGCAGUCGGGAAUUUUGGGCAAUGGGCGCAAGCCUGACCCAGCAACGCCGCGUGAAGGAUGAAAUCUCUUGGGAUGUAAACUUCACAAGAACAGGAAGAAUAAGUGAGUGUUAAUAGCGCUCGCGAUGACGGUACUGUUUGUAAGCUCCGGCUAACUCCGUGCCAGCAGCCGCGGUAAUACGGGGGGAGCAAGCGUUGCUCGGAUUUACUGGGCGUAAAGGGCGCGUAGGCGGCGUGACAAGUCACUUGUGAAAUCUGAAGGCUCAACCUUCAACGGCCAAGUGAUACUGUUGUGCUUGAGUGCAGAAGGGGCAAUUGGAAUUCUCGGUGUAGCGGUGAAAUGCGUAGAUAUCGAGAGGAACACCAGCGGCGAAGGCGGAUUGCUGGGCUGACACUGACGCUGAGGCGCGAAAGCUAGGGGAGCGAACGGGAUUAGAUANNNCGGUAGUCCUAGCCUUAAACGAUGGAUGCUUGGUGUCCGAGGUAUUGAAGUCCUCGGGNGCCGGANCUAACGCGAUAAGCAUCCCGCCUGGGGAGUACGGUCGCAAGACUGAAACUCAAAGGAAUUGACGG
rnacentral:rRNA from 1 species